CGGGAGGAAUAUGUUAUGGAAACAUACCAACUCUUAAUUCUGGAAACAGAUUGUAGGUUCGAUCCCUACCCUCCCGCCCA
rnacentral:tRNA from 1 species